UUGUCAUGUCACCACUUAGGCAGACUAUGGAGAGAUACAUAGGGUGAGAAACGGAGGCCUUCAGCCAGCAGCUGGGGAGAAGCUGAGUCCCGUCAACAACUUAAAAGACUGCAGCCCCAGCCAACAGCUUGAUGUAACCUCAUGAGAGACCCUGAACCACAACCACCUAGAGGAAAAAUCUCAGAAGUCUAAUGGUGAAGAGAUAUGGCCGAGUCUCACUGUGACUAAAUGAACUGGAGAUGAAUCUCUGAAAUAUUAGACUCCAAAGUUCUUCAUCUUCAUCAAAAUGGAACUUAAACUGGAUGUAAAACUUAACUUUUUUAAUUGCCUCUUACAAUAUUUUAAAGUUGAAAUUUAAAAAUAAUUAUGUAAAAGUGUGAUAGAAAAGAAACAAACAUCUACUGUGUUUCGUUUGGAAGGCACACAUGUCGGAUGUGGUUGAAGCUUGUCCAUGGAACAUGAAAUUUCAAAUUGUAAACAUACCCCCAAGAAAAUAUUAAGGACAAAUGCAUAACUAAACAAAUCUCCAAGUGAGAAGACCUUACCUGUCUUCCGAAAGCCUGGUAACUUUCACCUGCACAUAAUGCUACCUACAUGAUUUCGUUUUCCUUCUUUCCACCUUUCCCUUCACUCCCCUCCCCUCCCCUCCCCUCUCCUCCCCUUCCCUUCCCUUCCAUUCUUUCCUCAUCUUUAUUGAGGAAUAAUCGAUAACAAACAAAACACUUUGCACAUGU